rnacentral:rRNA from 1 species
AAAUCGUACCCCAAACCGACACAGGUGGUCAGGUAGAGAAUACCAAGGCGCUUGAGAGAACUCGGGUGAAGGAACUAGGCAAAAUGGUGCCGUAACUUCGGGAGAAGGCACGCUGAUAUGUAGGUGAGGUCCCUUGCGGAUGGAGCUGAAAUCAGUCGAAGAUACCAGCUGGCUGCAACUGUUUAUUAAAAACACAGCACUGUGCAAACACGAAAGUGGACGUAUACGGUGUGACGCCUGCCCGGUGCCGGAAGGUUAAUUG